GUGGGGAAUCUUGCGCAAUGGGCGAAAGCCUGACGCAGCCAUGCCGCGUGAAUGAUGAAGGUCUUAGGAUUGUAAAAUUCUUUCACCGGGGACGAUAAUGACGGUACCCGGAGAAGAAGCUCCGGCUAACUUCGUGCCAGCAGCCGCGGUAAUACGAAGGGGGCUAGCGUUGCUCGGAAUUACUGGGCGUAAAGGGCGCGUAGGCGGACAGCUUAGUCAGAGGUGAAAGCCCAGGGCUCAACCUUGGAAUUGCCUUUGAUACUGGCUGUCUUGAGUACGGGAGAGGUGAGUGGAACUCCGAGUGUAGAGGUGAAAUUCGUAGAUAUUCGGAAGAACACCAGUGGCGAAGGCGACUCACUGGCCCGUUACUGACGCUGAGGCGCGAAAGCGUGGGGAGCAAACAGGAUUAGAUACCCGUUUAGUCC
rnacentral:rRNA from 1 species